GCCUGGAAAUUAGCGGCGGAGUCUUCACCUUAUACAAAACGUAUCCGGUGCACAUUCCUGUAAAUUAAAUGAAGAGGUGCAUAAUUAGGGGCCCACUCGUUGCCAUGGUUUGUCAUAUAAGAAAUCGAAAGACUCGAAGGGCAGAGAAACUUUGUGGGUGUACUGAUAUGUCAAGGAUAUUAUACCAGAAAUGCUCCACGAGCUGAGUAGAAAAACGAAAAGUGUAAUAGCCACGGCUUUGAAGUACCUGAAAACGACCGGCUAAAUCUGCAACAACUUCCUGAAAAUCAAAAGAGAAAAACUUGUUAAACGUGUUGUGCCCACAACCAGUCGUGGUUGUGGCCAACUGGAAAAGCGUCGAUGCAGCGGGAGGUUAUUGGUACCAUUGUUUAUAUAACUUCCGCGUAUCAUUUCGCCAAGAUGGUGUGACAAUGAUCACAGCCACUACCUGCUUACUUUCCACCACAUUAUGCAAUUCGGUUUUGACUCAACAACGCGAAUCUAAAGCGUGCCAAAAAGAUUUUAGGCAUACGGAUAUAAAAAGGCAAAUCAAUUAAUAAAAAAAAACAAUUUGUUUUAAUUUUUCAACAGUUUUGACGUUUUUUUGACACGUUUUGAUGGUUGUGGGCGUUAGGAGGGG